rnacentral:rRNA from 1 species
UACGUAGGUGGCAAGCGUUUGUCCGGAUUUAUUGGGUUUAAAGGGUGCGUAGGCGGCUUUGUAAGUCAGUGGUGAAAUAUGGCAGCUCAACUGUCAAGGUGCCAUUGAUACUGCAGAGCUUGAGUACAGAUGAGGUAGGCGGAAUUGACGGUGUAGCGGUGAAAUGCUUAGAUAUCGUCAAGAACACCUAUAGCGAAGGCAGCUUACUAGGCUGUAACUGACGCUGAGGCACGAAAAGUGUGGGGGAUCAAAACAGG